CUGAGUGAGGGAGCAAUCCCGACCUCCAACCCUUUGUGAACGCAUCAUGUUGCUUCGGGGGCGACCCUGCCGUUCGCGGCAUUCCCCCCGGAGGUAAUCAAAACACUGCAUUCUUACGUCGGAAUAAAAAGUUAAUUUAAUA
rnacentral:misc_RNA from 1 species